UACGUAGGGGGCAAGCGUUGUCCGGAUUUAUUGGGCGUAAAGAGCGUGUAGGCGGCCAAGCAGGUCCGCUGUGAAAACUCGAGGCUCAACCUCGAGACGUCGGUGGAAACCGUUUGGCUAGAGUCCGGAAGAGGAGAGUGGAAUUCCCGGUGUAGCGGUGAAAUGCGCAGAUAUCGGGAAGAACACCCGUGGCGAAGGCGGCUCUCUGGGACGGUACUGACGCCGAGACGCGAAAGCGUGGGGAGCGAACAGG
rnacentral:rRNA from 1 species